CCUACGGGAGGCAGCAGUGGGGAAUAUUGGGCAAUGGGCGCAAGCCUGACCCAGCAACGCCGCGUGAAGGAAGAAGGCUUUCGGGUUGUAAACUUCUUUUCUGAGGGACGAAGAAAGUGACGGUACCUCAGGAAUAAGCCACGGCUAACUGCGUGCCAGCAGCCGCGGUAAUACGUAGGGGGCAAGCGGGAUACGGAUAUAUUGGGUGUAAAGGGCGGGGAGGCGGGAAAGCAAGUCAGAUGUGAAAACUCAGGGCUCAACCCUGAGCCUGCAUUUGAAACUGUUUUACUUGAGUGCUGGAGAGGCGAGCGGAAUUCCGUGUGUAGCGGUGAAAUGCGUAGAUAUACGGAGGAACACCAGUGGCGAAGGCGGAUUGCUGGACAGUAACUGACGCUGAGGCGCGAAAGCGUGGGGAGCAAACAGGAUUAGAUACCCCGGUAGUC
rnacentral:rRNA from 1 species